UCCCUACCCCCACCACCACUGCCAUUUUCGGAAGCAUAACCGCUGACUCCUUCCUGCGGGGGAGGUGGACGGAGGCGACUCGGGAGGACGAUGAUCUUGCUCGUUGGAGACCACUGGAGCGAUGGCAAGGGAAGCGAGGAGACUGUACGCCGACCGGCGGGGCAGCUUCGUCUCCAUCGCAACCCAAUCAUGGCAAGAAAGCGAGAACUUAAAAUGCCGAAUCCGCCCCCUCUCCAAGGAGGAAGACGAGAGCAAUGUUAGGGAUGGGAGGAGUUAAAAUAACUAUGUUACUGCAGAUAACUUGCUAAUAUUUACUUUAUAACUUGAUACACUGUCUCUAUAUAAGUUGUUACAUUAUAAUUUCAUAAGUGGUGACAAAUAGAAGUUGUAAUAUUUUUCUCUACAUUAAUCACUUGUGCAAUGACCAUUGUUUUAUGCUUAUUUAGUAUUUCUUCUUUUAA